CAUUUUAACAGGCGUUGAACGAACUUCAUGCUGAAAGGAGAAGACCGGUUUUACAACCAUGUGAUGCGUCAACAAAUAAAGCAAGCUGCGGCCUAACGAGGGCAAUGUUUUGACCGUGCAGAGAAAAUACACAGGAGGUGAUGAAGAUAGCAUCUGAGCUGGACUAACCUCAACGUGUUACAAGGAGGACUGACCUUAUAGGAUUUUUAAAGCAUCAAGCUCGUCUUUGGUAGAAUUGUAAAUGAAACCUGCGUUUCUCCAGCCGUGAACCGAAAUUCAAUUACUUGGCCCAUGAAGAUUUUUUAAAAGAGGAAAACUGAUGUCCACUCUCCUUAAGAUCAGCACUAAGCCAGAAUUCCGAUUGUUAAAUGUCAUGAUAAGGUCAUUUGUAGGAGUGAUCGAUAAAUCAUUCAUACAGUCUACAAGACUCUGAGCCAUUAAUCCUGACACAGUUGGUCAUUUGAGAUAUUUAGCCUUUCUCUCAGUUGUGUGAAGUACCAAAAGAAAAGUCAUGAGAUUUGGGCUUUACUGAAGUAGGGAAGUUCUCAGAAAGAAUCUUCCUGUACAAAUAGUCUUCUUAUAACUUAAGUAUCUUAAUAACCUAACUCGAGAAUAACUUCGGUAAUAGGAUUUCUAAAGAGCCAAAGUUGAUUUCUUUACAAUGAAGAUAAUACCAAUAUAUUUCUAAUAUCUGAUUUUCAAAUAGAUCGCAUCAGUAGUCAAAGCAAUUGAAUGAUAAUUUAGCCACUAUGCAUUUGCCUAUU